rnacentral:lncRNA from 1 species
CGCAGCUCUGAAAGAGUGCAUCCUUGCUAACAAAACUCUGGUUGACAUAGAUACUGUUACCAUUCGAUCUUACUCCUUCAAUCUUUUUGAAAUCUUCAAAACACAUAUCAUCAUCUUCCUCAUCCUCAUCUUCAACCUUUCCAUAAACACUGUAAUCUUCACCAUUCUCGUCCGCUUCAGCAACAAUAGAGAUAUCAGCAUCCUCCUCCCCAUCGUCCUCCUCCCCAUCAUCCUCCUCCCCAUCAUGAUUUUCAUCUUCAACCAAAUCAUCAUCAUCAUUCAAAACAUUCAUC